CGGACGGGUGAGUAAUGUCUGGGAAACUGCCUGAUGGAGGGGGAUAACUACUGGAAACGGUAGCUAAUACCGCAUAACGUCGCAAGACCAAAGAGGGGGACCUUCGGGCCUCUUGCCAUCGGAUGUGCCCAGAUGGGAUUAGCUAGUAGGUGGGGUAACGGCUCACCUAGGCGACGAUCCCUAGCUGGGCUGAGAGGAUGACCAGCCACACUGGAACUGAGACACGGUCCAG
rnacentral:rRNA from 1 species